UACGUAGGCAGCAAGCGUUGUUCGGAGUUACUGGGCGUAAAGAGUGUGUAGGCGGUUCUCUAAGUUCCGUGUGAAAUCUCCCGGCUCAACUGGGAGGGUGCGCGGAAAACUGGAGGGCUGGAGUAUGGGAGAGGAAAGCGGAAUUCCUGGUGUAGCGGUGAAAUGCGCAGAUAUCGGGAAGAACACCCGUGGCGAAGGCGGCUCUCUGGGACGGUACUGACGCUGAGACGCGAAAGCGUGGGGAGCGAACAGG
rnacentral:rRNA from 1 species